rnacentral:rRNA from 1 species
GGGGGGGGCAAGCGUUGUUCGGAAUUACUGGGCGUAAAGGGCGCGUAGGCGGUUCGCUAAGUCGGAUGUGAAAACUCUGGGCUCAACCCAGAGCCUGCAUCCGAAACUGGCGGGCUAGAGUUCUGGAGGGGGUAGCGGAAUUCCUGGUGUAGCGGUGAAAUGCGUAGAUAUCAGGAGGAACACCGGUGGCGAAGGCGGCUACCUGGACAGAAACUGACGCUGAGGCGCGAAAGCUAGGGGAGCAAACAGGAUUAGAUACCCUGGUAGUCCUAGCCCUAAACGAUGGAUACUUGGUGUGACGGGGAUUGAAUCCCGUCGUGCCGAAGCUAACGCAUUAAGUAUCCCGCCUGGGGAGUACGGUCGCAAGGCUGAA